UACGUUCCCGGGCCUUGUACACACCGCCCGUCAAGUCAUGAAAGUCGGUAACACCCGAAGCCGGUGGCCUAACCGUAAGGAAGGGAGCCGUCGAAGGUGGGAUCGGUGAUUAGGACU
rnacentral:rRNA from 1 species